AUUGGCUUAACUUAACGCAGGAUUAUCCCCGCUGAUGCAAUGGCUUGGUGGUAAUUCGGCAGUCCACUUGGAACCAGGAGAGCAGAAACAUUGUGGAGACAUUGUUUCAUUCUGAGCUGUUCCCGGUAGACACCAGUGACUAAGCAAAAUGAAGCAAUUGGCGUCGUUCGAGGCGCGGGUGCUCGAGAUGCUGCGACAGCACGCGCAGGACGAGGAAGCCCGCACGAUCAUAGAGCAGCAAGACCUGCACAAUGCCGUGGACAGCACGGGCAGCACUCUGCUGCAUUACGCGGCCGGCUGGCGUAACGCGGCCAUGGUGCAACAGCUGAUCGAGUUAGGCGGCCUGAUCAACGUGCAGAACAACACGGGAGACACGCCGCUGACGGUGGCCGUGGCGAACGGCCACCCCCCCACGAUCAAGAUCCUGCUGCGAGCCGGGGCCGACGUACACUCGCAGAACCACGAGGGCAAGACCGCGCUGACGAUAUUCGCCACCAGCCAGUGCGCGGACGACGAGCUCGUGAAGAUGUUUCUCGGGACGCUCUCGCGACACGUGGGCCACGACGACGAGCUGAUGGCGAAGGUGCUGCUACAGCUGCACUGGCCUCUGCACUACGUGGUGCGACUGGGCAACGGACACGUGAUGGAGUUGGUGAUGAAGGGCGAGCGCUCGACCACCAUCAACAUGCCCAACAACCUGGGCGAGACUCCGCUUCACAUAGCCGUCACCUGCGCCGACGUGGUGAACGUGCAUCUGCUGCUCUUCCGGCCCGUCAACAUCAACGCCCUGAACGUGUACGGACAUACACCGCUGGCGUGUCUCUACCGCCAGGGAAUGUCCAUCCAUCAUCUGGAGGACCAGCGACUGCAGAUUCUGAAGCUGCUGAUCAUCCACGGAGCGGGCUUAUGUCGCGACCAAGGUGACUGGCCCGACAUUUACAGCGUGCUGUGGUACGGCACCAAGUCAGCGGUCGAGUGGCUGCUCAACUCCAUUGUCCACAUGCACGCGCUCGUCGAGGUGGACCUCAACGAGAACACUCUGGUGCAUCUGCUCGCGGUAAAUAUCAAUCCGGGCGUGAUCGAGCUGCUGCAGGACUUGAACUGGGACCCGAGCGUGCGCAACAAGCAGGGCAGGACGCCCCUGAUGAUCGCCGCGCGCUACGGCAACGCGAACGCGGUCAAGUUCCUGCUGGACGAGGGGGUCUACAUCGACGCCGCGGACCCUGCCGGCAAGACGGCGCUGGUCUGGGCCAUGGCCUUCCGCGGUGGCAAUCGCGAAACCGCCCUGAAGUCCGUUCAGAUCCUUCUGGAGCGCGGCGCCGACCCCCAGGUCAGCAUUCGGGGCAAGACCAUCUUCGACAAAAUCGACGACAUGCGAUUCUUCCUGGUCGAACCCAUCAUCGCGCAUCUGGCCCUGCAAGAGGCCAGAGGCAUUCCCCUCACCGAGCCCAUUCGCAACAAGACACGGACGGACGAGCAAGUCAAGGAUUACUACGAGGCUAGCAAGCACGAGCUCAAAGUCACGGUCUAUCGGUCCUGCACGCUGGUCCAGUUGCUCAUCGGGCCCGAGGAAAUGCUCGAGCAACACGUGCGCGAUCAGAGUACUUACUUGCGAAUCCUGAAGUUCACCAAAGAGCUCCAAUUCAAUUAUUACAGGGUGUUACUGAAAAAACGCAUCCAAGAGGCCAUCGAGACUGUCAUAAUGAAAGGCAAGUCUUCUCAGAUUAUCUGCGGAAUUUUCAAUGUACCGUCCAGCAAUUAUAAUUCCGUCGUCGAAAGUAUUGUCGAUCAUUUGUACCCAGAGGAUUUGCAAAAUCUCAUUGAUGCAGUAUUUGAUGAAUAGGUUGCUUCUACAAAGCUUCAGCCGCGACAAUUUUAACGCUCGACCGGUCUACAACUGAUUGGCGCUGACCUGAGCUCUGCGCUGUUUUCGAAAUGACAAAAAAUUCGCGUGGCGCCUGUCCGACAAUUCGUAAGACUGAUUGACCAUUACACCCCUAACUUCGAAGAGGUGAAAUUGACUAUAUCGCAAUCUCCCGUUUGGCC